rnacentral:rRNA from 1 species
UACGUAGGGGGCAAGCGUUGUCCGGAAUCAUUGGGCGUAAAGCGCGUGUAGGCGGUUCAGUAAGUCUGCUGUGAAAGUCCAGGGCUCAACCCUGGGAUGCCGGUGGAUACUGCUGGACUAGAGUGCGGAAGAGGCGAGUGGAAUUCCCGGUGUAGCGGUGAAAUGCGCAGAUAUCGGGAGGAACACCAAUUGCGAAGGCAGCUCGCUGGGACGUUACUGACGUG